UGAGUAAUCAUUUUUGGAUAGGAUUUCUAUCCCUCACAGUUUUGGGGGCUCAGUCUGGGAUGAGUCUUUGGGGGAGAUGGCUGCCCACCCCAAAUGGGGAUAGGCGCGCCCACGGCUAGUUUUUCCGUCGUCUCUGGCUCUGAGUGUGUAGCCUCCCUCCCUCUCUGACAAACGACCAGAGGCAGAGAUACUCAGUGAAAAGCAGAAUUGAAGAUGAAAAGGAGAAAUAGAGUCCUGACGGGCCGCGGCGGCAGUCUGAAAAGAAACAUGUGUUCUCGAGAAGAGAAGCAAGAAACCCAGAACCUUGACACUCAGGAGGAUAAAGAGGGGCAGUGGCUCCUCCCUGACGGCGAGAGGUACUGACCACAGCAGACUCCUCCCUUAGGAUUCACAGUGCAUAAGUUCUAUCCUGGAGACUGGGUCCUGGUUCAGACGUGGAAGGAGGGCAAGCUGACCCUGAGCUGGGAAGGACUGUUCCCGAUCCUGUUGACUUCAGAUACGGUGAUACGCACCAAAAAGAAAGGUUGGACACAUCACACUCGAGUCAAAGGUCCUGUGGAUGCGCCAAAGUGGGCAGUAGAGACUGAUCCAGGAACCUUGAAAGUGCAGCUGAAAUUACAGGAAACAGCAAAGACUGAUGAAUUGUGCAUGUAAAAUUUUUUUGAUUUGUCUCAUUUGGGGAACUCUCUUGGAACUUUUCUUGUUUGUACUAGAUAUUGCAUUUUGCUGAACUGUAUUGUUAGGAAUUAGGGAUAUUAUAUAUACCAUUAGGAAGAAUGGGGGUGUGAACCAAACCCAAGGGGUUGGAGACUGUGUCUUGUAUAUGCAUGUAUGAUUUUAUGCGGGUACACCUUUUGUACUGGUACCUCAAGAGCAGUGGGGUAUGAAAAUACCUUUCAAACCCUCAUCCAAACAAUAGCCACUAGCUUUAAAUUGACUGACUGCUGGAUAUGUGGGGGACCCAAACAAUUCACACGAUGGCCCUGAGUACUUGUCCCUUUAUUUCCAGCCUGGAUAUUGAGUAAUAGAUCAGUUGUACAUGAUGGUACAGGAUUUUGGUCAGAUCAGGAGGAACAUCAGUGGAAACUAACUAAUGCUGUCCCAGGAGGACAUUGUUUAAAUCAAACAGGCACAAGGGCCUUGGAUGGGAGAAAGUAAAUGCGAAUGGACUUUUACCCACCGGCCAGAGAAGGUAGCUAUUAUAGAUUGUAGUAAAUAUAAAAAUAGAUAGAAUAAAACAAGUAUUGUUUGUGACGAUGGGUCAGUGAUUAAAUGUUCUCAUCAACAUGCAGUAAAAGGUAGUGAAGAAUGCUUGAGGGAAUUUAGAAAGAAACCAACUUUUCAAACACCCUGAGAUUUAUGGAGAUGUUUAAGAUUAAAUAGUACAAAGUCAGGUACUGCUAGUACUGUAAUGAGAUGGAAGUGGGAAAAUAGUAAUGGAACUAUUAGAAAAAUGUUUGGUAACUUUUGGAGUAAUAUAGAUUUUACUGGGGAAAAUGAUUGUAAUUGCACUUAGAUGCCUGAAAAGCAACUUUGGAAGUGUAAUUCAAAAACCAUGAAAGGGGGACUGUUAGGCCCAUGGGAUAUUAUAUAUUUCCCACCCUCAACAGGAGUUUUUAUCUUCUGGCAUGAGAAAAGCCCAGCUUUAAGGGAUUUAUUGGAUUUGUGGCCAGAUGGCAUAUAUUCACCUCCCAAGAAAUUGGACUGGGAGUUGUUAUGCAAGUACAAUAAGGCCCAAGUUUUUCUUCCUUCCAGAAGAUGGUGACAAACAAUUAGGAAUACGACUAGUAUAGAUACUUCUCUGAUUCAAACAGGUGAUGCUAAUGGAUGGGGAAAUACA